UGCAGAGAGAAUGCUGCUGCCAC
rnacentral:piRNA from 1 species